rnacentral:ncRNA from 21 species
UUUUGGUUCGACGUUAAAAGUUUCUUUCGCUUAAAUUAAAGGAAGUUUUUAAAGUCGAUUAAAAGGGAAUCUGGUGAGGUGUGUAUACCAAGUCCAGAACUGUUCCCGCAACUGUAAGUUUUAUGCCCAAGCAGAUUGAGCAUCUCAUUUUUAAUGAGUUAUUAUUUUCUUCAAAGCCACUGACAUGUAUGUUGGGAAGGUGAAAUAAUAAGAAACAAGUCAGGAGACCUGCCAUUAUUCAAACAUCAAAA